rnacentral:rRNA from 1 species
UGUGUAGGUGUCUCGAUAAGUCGGGUGUGAAAUCCUUCAGCUUAACUGAAGAAUUGCGCUCGAAACUACCGAGAUUGAGUGCAUGAGAGGAGAGGGGAAUUCUUGGUGUAAGGGUGAAAUCUGUAGAUAUCAAGAAGAACACCGGUGGCGAAGGCGCCUCUCUGGCAUGCAACUGACACUGAGACACGAAAGCGUGGGGAGCAAACAGGAUUAGAUACCCUGGUAGUCC